rnacentral:rRNA from 1 species
CCUACGGGGUGCAGCAGGCGCGAAACCUNCGCAAUGCGGGCAACCGCGACGGGGGGACCCCCAGUGCCGUGGCACAGCCACGGCUUUUCCGGAGUGUAAAAAGCUCCGGGAAUAAGGGCUGGGCAAGGCCGGUGGCAGCCGCCGCGGUAAUACCGGCGGCCCAAGUGGUGGCCGCUAUUAUUGGGCCUAAAGCGUCCGUAGCCGGGCCCGUAAGUCCCUGGCGAAAUCCCACGGGUUAACCGUGGGGCUUGCUGGGGAUACUGCGGGCCUUGGGACCGGGAGAGGCCGGGGGUACCCCUGGGGUAGGGGUGAAAUCCUGNAAUCCCAGGGGGACCGGCAGUGGCGAAGGCGCCCGGCUGGAACGGGUCCGACGGUGAGGGACGAAGGCCAGGGGAGCNAACCGGAUUANAUACCCGGGUAGUCCUGGCUNUAAAGGAUGCGGGCUAGGUGNCGG